AUCAUGGAGAGUUUGAUCCUGGCUCAGAACGAACGCUAGCGGCGCGUCUUAAGCAUGCAAGUCGAGCGGCAAGGGGUAGCAAUACCCCCUAGAGCGGCGGACUGGUGAGUAACGCGUGGGUGACCUACCCUUAGGUUGGGGAUAGCCAUUAGAAAUAGUGGAUAAUACCGAAUAUGGUUGUUUUGCUAUGGCGAGACAAAGAAAGGAGCCUUGGCUCCGCCUGGGGAUGGGCCCGCGUUCCAUUAGGUAGUUGGUGAGGUAAAGGCCCACCAAGCCUGAGAUGGAUAGCCGGCCUGAGAGGGUGAACGGCCACACUGGGACUGAGAUACGGCCCAGACUCCUACGGGAGGCAGCAGCUAAGAAUAUUCCGCAAUGGGCGAAAGCCUGACGGAGCGACGCCGCGUGGACGAAGAAGGCCGGAAGGUUGUAAAGUCCUUUUUUUGCGGGAGAAUAAGCGGGGGAGGGAAUGCCCCCGCGAUGACGUGAAGCAAAGAAUAAGCCCCGGCUAAUUACGUGCCAGCAGCCGCGGUAACACGUAAGGGGCGAGCGUUGUUCGGAAUUAUUGGGCGUAAAGGGCGCGUAGGCGGUUAUGGAAGUCUGAUGUGAAAGGCAGGAGCUUAACUUCUGGACUGCAUUGGAAACUGGAUGACUGGAGUCAUGGAGGGGGAGUUGGAAUUCCUAGUGUAGGGGUGAAAUCUGUAGAUAUCAGGAAGAACACCGGUGGCGAAGGCGAACUUCUAGCCAAUGACUGACGCUGAGGCGCGAAAGUGCGGGGAGCAAACAGGAUUAGAUACCCUGG
rnacentral:rRNA from 1 species